rnacentral:lncRNA from 14 species
GACAAACAUGCUCUGCCCAUCAUUGUGCCCAUUGGAAGUGUGAAAAAGGAAGACUCUGGAAAUAACCAUAGCAUCCUUGCAGCGGGUCUCGAACCUGGAGCAUUCUCUCUCAUAACUCAGUCUUCUCCCCCCUGUGUUGCAGGGGAAAGAUGGGGCCAGAAUAUUGAAGACUGGUACAGAAAUCAGGGCAGAAUCUUAAGCAACCAUAUUGUGGAGAGACUCAGUGACGACAAAGAAGAAACCAUCAACCAAAUUCUUGACCACGACCUGAAAAAGGAAAGCUCUCCUGGAGUAAAUCUCUGUGAAUGCAGUGUGUGUGGGCUAGCCUUCGUGUCUUGUUCAUCUGGGAAGGGUACACACACUGGACAGGGAGUACAUGACUACAAAUGCAGGCAGUGUGAAACAGCCUUCUGUAAUUACCCUUUCCAAGUCAGUGACAGGUCUCACCAUGAAGACAAACCCCACGGGUGUCAGGAACACGGGGAAGACUUCCUUUCUUUUACCAGCCUUGGUGACUUCGUUAUACCUCGGACUGAAGGUGGACCCCAUAAAUGUAACGUGUGCGGAAAAGGUUUGCACUACCCCAGCUCACUUAGGAUCCAUGAAAGAAUCCACACAGGAGAGAGGCCCUAUCAGUGUGAAGAGUGUGGAAAAGCCUUCAGUUGUUGGGGCUCAGUUCGACGACAUCAAAGGACCCACACUGGUGAGAAACCCUACAACUGUAAGGAGUGCGGGAAGGCCUUCAGUUCUCUCUCGGGCCUUAAAGGACACACGAUAAGACACACUGGGGGUGGACCUUAUAAGUGCAAGGAGUGUGGAAAAGUCUUUAACUCGCCCAGUGCACUUAGUAAACACGAGAGAACUCACACGGGGGAGAGACCCUUUCUGUGUAAGUACUGUGGGAAAGCGUUCAUCUGCUCCACCUCAGUGCGCAAACACGAGAGGACUCACACUGGAGAAAAACCCUAUGAGUGUCAGCGGUGUGGGAAGGCCUUCAUUUCUAACUCAGGCCUCCAAGGACACAUGAUUAGGCACACAGGCGUCGGGCCUUACAAAUGUAAAUUCUGUGGGAAAGCCUUUGGCUCUCCCAGUGCUGUUCUAAGGCAUGAAAGUGCUCAUGUCGUGUAGGGAGAGCCUUCACUUUGAGGACACGUCAGAUCCUGAGAAAAUCUUACCAUCCUAGUUCAGGUACAGAAAAGGAUUCCUGAAGGGAAGCUCUUGUUUAGAGAAUAUGGGAAAGACGUUGAGGGUUAGACUUUAUGUGGAAGCAUGAAGAGGCGGAAGAAAAACCUUACAAAUAAAAGAAUAAAACCUCUGUGUGUGUGUGUGUGUGUGUGUGUGUGUGUGUGUGUGUGUGUGUGUGUGUGUAAGUAACAGCACAUUUUGUUGAGAUGGGCCAGAAGAUACACAGACAGAUUUUUUAGUUAGGCGUGAUAGCACAGGUCUUUAAUCUCUGUACUUGGGAAGUGGAGGCAGGUGAGUCUCUGUGAGUUCAGGGCCAAUCUAGUCUACAUAGUGAGUUCCAGGAUAGCCCAAGCUACACAGAGAGACCCUAUCUAAGUAAAGGGGGCAGGGGAUGCUCAGUGGUUAAGAGUGCUUGCUGUCCUUCCAGAGAACCUAGUUUCCAUUGUCAGCAUCCGUGUUUGACACAACAACCAUGAGUUCAUCUCCUGAGGAUUUGAAGGUCAGUUCUGGCCUCUGCAGGCUUUGUACUUAGUAUGUAAAUCCAUGUAAUUCUAAAAAGAUGGGAUGAUUCCCCAGUUAGUACUAGGGACCAUAAAUUACAGUGGUUGCUAUGGAGAAGGCUUUGGGAUGGAAUGUAAAAGGCACGUGUGAGGUCAGAGGAUAACUCUGGUAUAAAUUCUCUCCCGCUUUACAUGGAUUUCAGGGGUGCAACUCAGGUUAUUAGGGUCGGCAGCAAGAGCCUUCUCCACCUGCUGAGCCAUUUUGUCAGCCUGCUCAUUUGUUUUCCGUGAUGAGCUCUUGCUGUCAGGGUGGCCUGGAAUUCAGCAGUCCUCCUGCCUCAGCCUCUGCUGUGUUUCCAGAAUAACAUUUGAGAACCUUUUUUCAUUUAUCAGUGUGUGGGUGGGGGAUUGUGUGCUUGUGUAGGACAGAGGACAACUGUCUGCCGACCACUCUGUCCUUCCUUUACAUGGGUUUUAGGGACCAAACUCAGGUUGUCACACUUGCCCGGCAAGUGCCUUUACCUGCCGAGCCACCUGGUCAGCUCCAAUUGGUU